GACGAACGCUGGCGGCGUGCCUAAUACAUGCAAGUAGAACGCUGAAGGAGGAGCUUGCUUCUCUGGAUGAGUUGCGAACGGGUGAGUAACGCGUAGGUAACCUGCCUGGUAGCGGGGGAUAACUAUUGGAAACGAUAGCUAAUACCGCAUAAGAGUAGAUGUCGCAUGACAUUUGCUUAAAAGGUGCAAUUGCAUCACUACCAGAUGGACCUGCGUUGUAUUAGCUAGUUGGUGAGGUAACGGCUCACCAAGGCAACGAUACAUAGCCGACCUGAGAGGGUGAUCGGCCACACUGGGACUGAGACACGGCCCAGACUCCUACGGGAGGCAGCAGUAGGGAAUCUUCGGCAAUGGACGGAAGUCUGACCGAGCAACGCCGCGUGAGUGAAGAAGGUUUUCGGAUCGUAAAGCUCUGUUAUAAGAGAAGAACGAGUGUGAGAGUGGAAAGUUCACACUGUGACGGUAUCUUACCAGAAAGGGACGGCUAACUACGUG
rnacentral:rRNA from 1 species